UUGGGUGCUAAGAGAAUGGAUGAAUGUAUAUAAAUUGUUUUUUUUUAAAAAUUAAAAAUUAAUUUAAAAAUGAAAAAGUUUUUAUGUAUUAAUGGGACAAGAAGACCCUAUGAAUCUUAAUUAUUUUUAAAAUUAAAAAUUAUUUUAAUAUAAUUUAAUUGGGGCGAUUGAAAAAGAAUAUUUAUCUUUAUUUUGAAUUUAUUUUUUAAAUAUGGGAAAAGAUACUCUAGGGAUAACAGCGUUAUUAUUUUGGAUAGUUCAUAUUGAUAAAAUAGUUUGCGACCUCGAUGUUGAAUUAAUGAACCUUUUAAAUGAAGUUAUUUAGAAAGGUAGAUUGUUCCUC
rnacentral:rRNA from 1 species